rnacentral:lncRNA from 1 species
UAAUAUUUAUCAAAGGGUAAAGGCGCUCAUCCGCAGUUUGGAUCAGAGCCUCAAAAUCUAAAUUCAUGCCACGAAUAGCGUUUUUCAGAUGUUGACUUCCUAGGAUCCUAUUCUUUUAAACCUGAUUCAAUUUUUGUGCCUAUCAAGACAGACACCAAAGAUUUUAUUUAGGAGGAAAUAUGUGGUAUUCUUUUUAAACUUUUCCAGAGACAUCACUUAUGUGAUCUUACUUGGUUUCUACAACAUUCCCAGCCCCAGGAGGCAGGCAGAGUGAUAUUGCCAAUCACAUUUUUGUAGACACAGGCUCAGAGAAGUGACAUUACCUGCUAGAUGUCACACAGCCCAUCUGGGACCCCAGGGCUCAAGCCCCUGCCCUCUGGCCCUGAGUCCUGCCUCUGUCUGUGGACUCCCAGCUCUUGCUGUUGCUAGAGUGUGCUGCUCCUUUACUUGGCAUGUCCACAUUCCUGGGUUGUCCAGGAACGCACAUUCUUGGAGAGGAAGGGGAAUAGAUAUUUUAGCCACAUACAACACUCUGAGCUUGCCAGGCACCUAAUAGGGACACUCAAUAAAUAUUAAUUAAAGAAUGCAGCCACAUUGGCUUAUGUGCUGGCCAGAUCCUUUAAAGUGUCAAGAAUAUUCCUUGAGAGACUGAGUGUUAGGCUGGAAGGCUGUGUGGAGGCGGAGAGGACAGAAAAGUCCUGGAGUAAUGGAGUGCAUUCUCUUGGAAGAUGAAAAUAUCCACCCGCCCCAGGGGGCCCCUAUCUGUCACUGUCACCAGGAGAGAAGGAGGAAGGGAACAUAUGUCUGUUGAGUGCCUCUGGGACCUGUAUUUUUCUUGCUGGGGUGGGAUUUAUUCCGCUUCUCCCGUACUCCUGCAUCUCCAAGGCCAGUGGAGGACACCAGGGGACAGCUGGCUGAGAUCAAGGAUUAACGUCAAGGAAUUUCUUCAUCGUCUCCAUCAUCAAAUUCUACUUAACAUGCUCUGCCCAUUCCAAGAAAAAAAGAGGAAUGAAUGUGAACUCUUUUUGUACAUACAGCCAUUUACUCAAAAAAUGCAGCCGGCAGAGAUUCCACAGCUGGGAAGCUGACUGGUUGCAGUAGAGAAGCUGGCCAAAAUCCACCAAGAUGGCGACAAGAGUGACCUCUGGUCAUCCUCACUGUUACACUCCCACCAGCGCCAUGACAGUUUGCAGAUUCCAGGUAAUGUCAGGAAAUUACCCUAUAUGGUCUAAAAAAAGGGGACACAUGAAUAAUCCACGCCUUGUUUAGCAUGUCAUUAAGAAAUAACCAUAAAAAUGGGCAACCAGCAGCCCUUGGGGCUGCUCU